rnacentral:rRNA from 2 species
CGCGAAUGGCUCAUUAAAUCAGUUAUGGUUCCUUAGAGCUCCUGAUCCUACAUGGAUAACUGUAGUAAUUCUAGAGCUAAUACAUGCAACUAAGCUCCGACCUUCGGGGACGAGCGCACUUAUUAGACCAUGAUCAACCGGGGGCAACCCCGAACGACUGGUGACUCUGGAUAAACUACCGCGGAUCGCAUGGCCUCGAGCUGGCGAUUCAUCUUACAACUGUCUGACCUAUCAACUAGAAGGUAGAGUAUAUGUCUACCUUGGUGAUGACGGGUAACGGGGAAUCAGGGUUCGAUUCCGGAGAGGGAGCAUGAGAAACGGCUACCACAUCCAAGGAAGGCAGCAGGCACGCAAAUUACCCACUCCUGGCAAGGGGAGGUAGUGACGAAAAAUAACAAUACGGGACUCUUUCGAGGCCCCGUAAUUGGAAUGAGUACGAUGUAAAAUCCCUAACGAGGAACUAAUGGAGGGCAAGUCUGGUGCCAGCAGCCGCGGUAAUUCCAGCUCCAUUAGCGUAUAUUAAAGCUGUUGCAGUUAAAAAGCUCGUAGUUGGAUCUGGGGAGCAGGCUGGCGGGACCGCUUCACUGCGGAACUGCCUGUCCUGCCCUUUGCGCCGGGCUUCACAACAUGCGGGUUGCUCUUCAAUGAGUGUCUCCGCGUGGCCCGGUACUCUUACUUUGAAAAAAUUAGAGUGCUCUAAGCAGGCGGACACGCCUGAAUAAUGUUGCAUGGAAUAAUGGAACAGGACCUCGGUUCUGUGAAGUUGGUCGUCAGAACUGAAGUAAUGAUCAAUAGGGGCUGACGGGGGCAUCCGUAUUACGGGGCGAGAGGUGAAAUUCUAUGACCCUCGUAAGACGCCCAAAAGCGAAAGCAUUUGCCAAGAAUGCCUUCAUUAAUCAAGAACGAAAGUCAGAGGAUCGAAGACGAUCAGAUACCGUCGUAGUUCUGACCGUAAACGCUGGCGUCUGGUGAUUGUCAGGCGUGGGUCUAACGACCCUGACAGCAACCCCUCGGGAA